UCUGCACACGGCUCCCCCACGCCAUCUUGAACAGAGUGUUGGGGGCGGAGCCUUUGCCGUCGUCGCCAUCAUUUUGCACCAGGCAUCCUGUUGGGAAGAGCUGAAGGGAAACCUUUGCACCAGGUGCCUUGGGAACUAGGGAGCUAGACUCAGCGCAGUGAAAACAAGCAAGAGAAGAUGGAAAUAAUUAGGACUUAAUUUGGAUGCCAGAGUUCCAGAUUUCAGAUUGGAACAUCAUGCCUGUCCUUCAGUAUGAACACCUGGAAGAGUGCAUCAGAUGGGUUAACUUCUGAAAGAAUGAGGAGCUGAAAUCUUAAGCGGACGAGAGGAUGCCUUUGGAUAAACCCCUGCCCUGGGUGCCCAUCUUGUCACGUUGUAGGAAGCUGGUCACUGCCACCGUCUCUCAGAAACCACAGCAGCGUCCUCAAGGAAAGAGCUUUCCAGAUCUGAGGGAGUGGACCAGUGAUGCAGUCACGUAGCCUGGCUUCAUUCUGAAUUCUUCUCCAUGGCUGUGUUCACCGAAGGACUUAAUCCUUAGGCAGCUCUUCCAAAUCUCAUACAGUUCUGCGACUUUUAUCUGAACUCUACCCUGAAUAUUCUAAUCAUGUAAAAUGUUUUCAAACCACUGUAGCACAGAAAUUAGUAAUGACCAGAUAUGUUUGCAGAAAUCCAUGCUUUGUGUAUUGUAAAAGGUCUGCAUGAAUGCUUGCUCUCCUCCCACAUGCUAAUAAACAUGAUCUGUGUACGGUUUUGAUCAUUUUUAAAUUC